CUGCUUCAGCAGCACAUAAACUAAAAUUGGAACAAGCCAAGAUUAGCAUGGUUCCCAAACAAGGAUGACACACAAAUUCAUGAUAUGUUUGAUUAAAAA
rnacentral:snRNA from 1 species